rnacentral:rRNA from 1 species
UACGGGGGGGGCAAGCGUUGUUCGGAAUUACUGGGCGUAAAGGGCUCGUAGGCGGCCAACUAAGUCAGACGUGAAAUCCCUCGGCUUAACCGGGGAACUGCAUCUGAUACUGGAUGGCUUGAGAUUGGGAGAGGGAUGCGGAAUUCCAGGUGUAGCGGUGAAAUGCGUAGAUAUCUGGAGGAACACCGGUGGCGAAGGCGACAUCCUGGACCAAUACUGACGCUGAGUGAGCGAAAGCCAGGGGAGCAAACGGG